GAUCCUGGUUCAGGACGAACGCUGGCGGCGUGCCUAACACAUGCAAGUCGAACGGAGAUGUAGAUUUCGGUUUACAUCUUAGUGGCGAACGGGUGAGUAACGCGUGAGCAACCUGACCCUUUGAGGGGGGAGUAACACCUGGAAACAAGUGCUAAUACCGCAUAAGACCACGACCCGGCAUCGGGAUGAGGUCAAAGGAGAAAUCCGCAGAGGGAGGGGCUCGCGUCCCAUUAGAUAGUAGGCGGGGUAACGGCCCACCUAGUCG
rnacentral:rRNA from 1 species